rnacentral:misc_RNA from 1 species
AGCGGUUUUGCUUGGCGUCGUCACAGAAAGAAAGAAAGAUGGCGGCCAAUGGUGCAAGAAGAACCCUUCAGUUCUCUUCAACUUCUGCAAAAGCCCUCUUAACCCGUUCACCACCACCACCAACAACAAAAACGAUAUCUUCCCUUUUUGCUUCAAAAGCCGCUAGCUUGAGUGGACUCUUUCCUAAGCCCUCCUCUUGUAGUCGCUUAUCACUCCACAAGCUAAACUUCUCCAGGCUUCCUGUGGAGUUGGGUGGUGCAUUGUCCUUGAUUCCAUUGCAUAGUGUUACAGCCUCUGCCUUGUUCACCUCAUUACUAUCAUUGCACAACGACACUUGGGGAUGUCUAUCUGAAGGAUUUGCAACACCUCUAUAACAUGGCUUGUGGACUUCCAUCAUGGCUGCCAGCAGGACGAUCAUUAGAAGGUGUUAUGUAACAAUUUUUUUUAACAAUUAAACUAGCGUUUCAAAGUGAUCCAGAUGAAUAUUUGUUUCUUUGAAUGAUAUAUUCUCAGGAGUAUCUUGAGUGUGAAAGAAAUACAAAUUACUGAAUAACUAGCCAAUUUGCAUUAUUAGUUGCCAGUACAUUUUGUGGCAUUUACCCCUCUUUC